rnacentral:rRNA from 1 species
AAAUGAAUAGACGGGGGUCCGCACAAGUGGUGGAGCAUGUGGUUUAAUUCGACGCUACGCGAAGAACCUUACCUGGGCUUGACAUUCUUAUGAUCGCUUUGUGAAAGCUUAGCUUUCUGCCCGCAAGGGUAGACAUUUGAACAGGUGUUGCAUGGUUGUCGUCAGCUCGUGCCGUGAGGUGUUGGGUUUAGUCCUCUAACGAGCGCAACCCCUAUUGCCAGUUGCCAUCGGGUAAUGCCGGGAACUCUGGCGAGACUGCCCGGGAUAACCGGGAGGAAGGCGGGGAUGACGUCAAAUCAUCAUGGCCCUUAUGUCCAGGGCUACACACGUGCUACAAUGGCAGAUACAAAGGGUCGCAAAAUCGCGAGAUGGAGCCAAUCCCAAAAAGUCUGCCUCAGUUCGGAUUGCAGUCUGCAACUCGACUGCAUGAAGCUGGAAUCACUAGUAAUCGCGGGUCAGCUACACCGCGGUGAAUACGUUCCCGGGCCUUGUACACACCGCCCGU